rnacentral:rRNA from 1 species
GGGCCCGCACAAGCGGCGGAGCAUGUGGUUUAAUUCGAAGCAACGCGCAGAACCUUACCCACUCUUGACAUCCUGCGAACUUUUUAGAGAUAGAAAGGUGCCUUCGGGAACGCAGUGACAGGUGCUGCAUGGCUGUCGUCAGCUCGUGUUGUGAAAUGUUGGGUUAAGUCCCGUAACGAGCGCAACCCUUGUCCUUAUUUGCCAGCACGUAAUGGUGGGAACUCUAAGGAGACUGCCGGUGACAAACCGGAGGAAGGUGGGGACGACGUCAAGUCAUCAUGGCCCUUACGACCAGGGCUACACACGUGCUACAAUGGGGCGUACAGAGGGUUGCGAAGCCGCGAGGUGGAGCCAAUCCCAGAAAACGUCUCGUAGUCCGGAUCGGAGUCUGCAACUCGACUCCGUGAAGUCGGAAUU